GGCGGAUCCGCUCCGGCGAAUACCAGAGGCGAAGGGGCAAGGCGGCGGCCGCUCCAUCCUUCCCCACGUGCUGGUUGUGCUGAUUCCGGGCUGGAUAGGUCGGUGCUGGACCUCAAGGGCGUCUGCUCCACUGACAGCCUCUUUGUAGUAAAAAUGAAGCAGAGCAAGGGAAUCAUAAGGGAGGCAAUGGGGAUGGGAAGGUUUGAUGGAUAAUCACCAUUUCUUAACCAUAUUUGGACCUUCCAAGAAAAUUAUGGCAGAUUGAACCUCUCC